UGUCUUAUAUUCAAUUAUGAUAUAAAAUUGCAAAUUUUAAGGUGUAGAAUUAAUUCUAUUAAGGCUU
rnacentral:tRNA from 1 species